UCUUAUUGAGAGUGAGUGAAGGGAAUUGGCCCUAUGAUACUCCGGCAACAGCAUUAUUUGAUGCGAUGUGCCAAAUCCAACAGGUAGUAACCUGAAUGAUAAGA
rnacentral:ncRNA from 1 species